rnacentral:lncRNA from 1 species
CCUUUCUUCUUACCUCCCCUGCACCUCUGCCUUGGGGGUGGGGGGAUAGAGGCAUGGAAUAGGUGCUCUGACCUCUGACCCUCUAGCCCAGGGAGAAGGUGAGCAGUAUUGAUUUGGAGAUCGACUCUCUGUCCUCACUGCUGGAUGACAUGACCAAGAAUGAUCCUUUCAAAGCCCGGGUGUCAUCUGGAUAUGUGCCCCCACCAGUGGCCACUCCAUUCAGUUCCAAGUCCAGUACCAAGCCUGCAGCCGGGGGCACAGCACCCCUGCCUCCUUGGAAGUCCCCUUCCAGCUCCCAGCCUCUGCCCCAGGUUCCGGCUCCGGCUCAGAGCCAGACACAGUUCCAUGUUCAGCCCCAGCCCCAGCCCAAGCCUCAGGUCCAACUCCAUGUCCAGUCCCAGCCCCAGCCUGUGUCUUUGGCUAACACCCAGCCCCGAGGGCCCCCAGCCUCAUCUCCGGCUCCAGCCCCUAAGUUUUCUCCAGUGACUCCUAAGUUUACUCCUGUGGCUUCCAAGUUCAGUCCUGGAGCCCCAGGUGGAUCUGGGUCACAACCAAAUCAAAAAUUGGGGCACCCCGAAGCUCUUUCCGCUGGCACAGGCUCCCCUCAACCUCCCAGCUUCACCUAUGCCCAGCAGAGGGAGAAGCCCCGAGUGCAGGAAAAGCAGCACCCCGUGCCCCCACCGGCUCAGAACCAAAACCAGGUGAGGGAUGGUGAUAGGACAAGGCUUGG